GCGCAUGCGCGGGGCCCUCCGCGCUCCCGCCCCUCCCUCAUGGCGGCCGCGAUGUUCCGGAGCCUGUUGGUCUCCGCGGCCCAGCAGCGGCCUCAGGCCCCGGGCCCGGGCGGGACCCCGCGGGAGCAGCCGCCCGCCGGCCCCGCCCCCGACACGCUGGAGGCGCAGUUCAGCUGCCCCAUCUGCCUGGAGGUGUAUCACCGGGCCGUGUGCAUCGCGGGCUGCGGCCACACAUUUUGCGGGGAAUGUUUGCAGCCAUGUCUCCAAGUGCCAUCUCCUCUUUGCCCGCUCUGCCGCAUGCCCUUUGACCCCAAAAAGGUGGAGAAGGCCUCCAAUGUGGAGAAGCAGUUGUCCUCCUAUAAGGCUCCCUGCAGAGGGUGCAGUAAGAAGGUGACCCUAGCGAAGAUGAGAUCCCACGUUUCAUCCUGCGCUAAGGUUCAAGAGCAGAUGGCCAACUGCCCAAAGUUCGUUCCAGUGGUCCCAACUUCCCAGCCCAUUCCCAGCAAUAUUCCAAACCGUUCCACUUUUGUCUGCCCUUACUGUGGAGCCCGGAACCUGGACCAGCAGGAGCUGGUCAAGCACUGCAUGGAGAACCACCGCAAUGACCCCAACAAAGUGGUGUGCCCAGUCUGUUCAGCGAUGCCCUGGGGGGACCCCAGCUACAAGAGCGCCAACUUCCUGCAGCAUCUCCUACACAGGCACAAGUUCUCCUAUGACACCUUUGUGGACUAUAAUAUCGAUGAAGAAGCAGCGUUGCAGGCUGCGUUGGCGCUCUCCCUCUCGGAGAACUGAAGGCGACUGAUGAGCAGCGGCGUGGAUCCUUUGCACAGGUCGCCUUUCCGCUAGGAGAGAUGCUGAUGUGCAGCCAUGCUGGAUCAGACAUGUGACCCAAGCGUGGGCGGGGCGGUACUCGGAGUUACUCACCAGGCAUUAACGGGGGUGUUGGUCAAUGGAUCAAGUCCACUUCUGAAAGAAAAUAAAACCUGUGAAUAAGCUACAAGCUGUGUGUGUCUCCGAGAUGCAAAGCCCUGUGAGUUGUACAGCAGAGGGGGUGUUCUCUGGGGCAACAGCCCCAUUCGCAUUACCAAGGAGCGGGCCAGUGAGCGUCUCGACUCCAGGCUGUUCGUUCGCUCCCGUCAGCAUGGACGGGCGGUUUGGCUGGGACUGUGAGGGGGCUGGUCUGGUCCUAGCUUGGCAGAGCUCAGUUCAGCAGUGGUCUGGUGUUUAGAAGUACAUGCAGUACAGCAUGACAAGCAGGCUGCCUUCCACUAUUAGUACUAACUUUAGGUCUCUUAAAGCUUUUGAUUGACCCAGGAGUGCUAAUGUGUGUGAAUAUGGCGCCGAUAGUGUGCAAAUCCAGCCUCGGGCUGUGGCGUGUAAACUGUAGUUCGGGACUCCGAUUCUAGUCACCUGUGGAGAAGGAAACCAAUGCACCUCAGCAGCCGUCCAGAGAUUGGUUGGGUCUCUGUGAUCCCGGGGCAAAGAUUCGGGAGCUCACCGGGAGUGACACCAGUAGGAUAAUUUAUAAUAAACGUCACGCCCCAGAUUUUUUCUUCUGUUACAACUGUAAUUUUGCAGCCUUAAAUCUUAUAAGGACAUGACUGCAAAACUCUCCAUUGGUGUGGAGUUACACCCAGCAUCUGGUGCUGGCCCCGUCUGAGACAGGGCCCUUUGUCUGAGAGCGUGGCAGGUCCUGAAAUCAGAUCGAUCUGUUUGUAACCAACCAUUACAUACUGGGGGUGGCUGAAACUUUGGCCUAGCGGCAUGCAUUCUUCCUGGGGGCCAGGAGGCUGUCUGGGCAUGCUCAGUUCCAUGCUCUUGCUGUAGUGUAGAAUCAGACCAGCUUAGUCUUUCUGCGCUGUGAAGAUCACUUCCUCGGACGCUGCAGGCGCCUCUCUGGGGAUAGGGCAGAUCUGCCCAAAGGUUUGGGCUGAGCCUGUUCUUAAGGGAGUUGAAAUUCAUUUUGGAAUAGUAUGGCUAGCAAAGAAUGCUGGGAAACAGAAUGACUGGAGCAGGGUGCGCUCUCCAUGGCAGGGAGACGUGUGUAUUCAGUUAACUUGUCCAGCCAGCGCGGUUAGGAAGGAAGUGCUGGGAGUUUUGACAGUGCAUUUCCCUGUCUAGUUUCUGCCCAGGUCUGUGACUUAAAUGUCAUUGGUGCCAUUGCAUUGACUGUCGUUCAGUGGGUCUGUGUAAUACUGGUUUAAACCACCUCCUUGUACUGACUUGAGCCCUGAUGUUCCCUACCUUAGAUGCCAAGCCUCAGACUUAUGCUGCACACAGCCCCUUUCUUCCCAGCCAAGGAGAACUGGCCACUUGUCAGUGGGCCAGUUCCCAUCCUAACUGACCUCUGGGAUCCCCAUUGCUGGAUCCUCCUUUCUGUAGGGACUGGACAUCCUACUCCACAGCACAAAACAAAGUUCCUGGCUGGUAUCCACCAGCCCCUCUGUUGCUGAGCUCUGGGGAAGAGCCCUGUGGGAGGCAGGGCAAAAUCCAUCUAGGACCAUUUCAUUUCCCGUCUGCUAAGAGACAUCCUGUAGCCUCCCUAGCUAGAAAGCCAAAACGGGUAAAUCACGUACAGUCCUGCUGAGCAAGCUGGAACCCAGCACCCCCUUUUCUAGGGAGCUUCUCUCCUCCAGUGCCCUGGGAGGGGCAGUCCUGCUUAGGAACACAACCCAGCAAUAGAUACCUUGUCCACUCGCAACCUGGUGUGAAAUGUGAAGGGGCAGGAUUCAUCAGGUGCUGCGAUUCGCUCAUCCCAUGGGUGCUUGGGUGACGCUGCACUUUCACAUUCAGGGUGUUUCAAGCCAGAAGAGGCCACUAGAACCUCUAGUCUGACCUAUGUAACGCAGGCCAUUAAACUUGUCCAAGCAUGAGGUGUUGGGUGGCUGGUGGCCAUGUGUUGACCUCUUGGAAGGGGACCUUUCCUCCAUCUAUCUCGCUGUUCUUGCUUUAGCCGUUUUGCUUUCUGGCUCUGUGCCUGGUUCCUGUCCCUUCCCAUCACAGUUCAAAUCGGUCUCAUCACUGGAUUGCUUUUUUGUUCUCUAUUUGCUCUUUUAUCCUGUGACCUUUGUUAUUUGCCACCUGACCUAUCUCGAGUCCUUCCAUCUGCAGCAGUGCAGGAAGCUAUCCUGUAACCCCACCCAAGGGAAGGAGCAUUGCAGCUUGCUGACCUUCCAGCUCUUGGUCUCCCUAUAUGGACACAUUCUGCUACUAAAGUCCCUGGCUUAUGGUGGUCUAAUCUCUAGCACACUGGCUGAAGGCCAUCCCUUGUGGAGGGAUCGCCUCGUUUUCUUAGGUGGGAUCUCCAUCUCCAAACCCUUAUUUAUCACCCUUCGCCCUUUGCUCUAGCACGCACGGUUAAACCUUUCUCCAGAAGAGCUGAGUGGCUCUGCUUGCCGCUGGUUUUGCUCACUGACUCCUUUUUCCUUCGUUACAAAGCAGCUGCCACCUCCCAGCAUGCUAGAACGCCACCUACUUUGCACCUCACUUUGAUAGUCUGGGACCAAUUGGCAGGCACCUAGCACUGGUGCAUUCCCGCUUAGGGAUGGGGUGCUGUGUUGGGUGAAAGUACGACUUCGCACUGAUGCCUGGGGACUCUCAGGGGGUGCAUAGCAGCUAGCUAAUCUCCUGGCGUUUGGGAGCUGGCUUGUGCAGACCCUCCUUUCAGCAUUGCUCUGGCUGCGUGAUACUCACCAUCUGGCACCGCACCGUCGCUGCGAGCAGGUCCCCGGCCAUGCCAAAUGGUCCUGGGGGUGAUAUUUUAAACAUCUCAGUAGCCGCUUCGCUCCAAGCUUGAAGCUUAGUUUGUAAGUGGGUUACCCAUCAACGUAACUGAAUGCAAUUGCCUACUACAAACCCAGGGACUGAUGGAAACUGCCCCCAAAUCACUGCCUUUGAAUGUAAGAUGAGAUCGGACAGGGAAACUCCACAGUACGGCGCUGUUAACCUUGCUUGUUUUGCUUCGCUUCGUUGGGAUGGGUUGGAGAAGGAGGUUUUGUCUGUCUAGCCUUAAAACCCAGCCAUCUGCCAGCAGGCUGUUUUGUCCUGGGUUUGAGUCUGUACUGCUGUGGGUGAACCGUAAAGAGGGCAGCGGAAAUAUAAUCCAGAGGGCUUUCCUUCUCCAAUGAGACGUCACAGACGUCGGAUCUCAUCUGUUCCCAUCUCUCUUCCAGCAGCGUUAAGCUGCAGAGCUUACGUUCCUUUCAAGUAUGUAAACUUUAAUAAACCUACCUAACUUUUCUACUUUUACUGUACUAUAGCGAAUGGGGUCCAGUUUGCCACUGGCUUUCAAGGCAUGGGGAGUGGGGAGGGUGUCUCUGAGUCUUGUCUUAAUGUCAAUUGUGUCGAACAGAAAAUGAGUUUUGGCAGGAGGAAUAUUUUACUUAUGGCUUGAGGGUGGAUGUGCUUGAUCUCUGUUCAAAGUGGUGGCGCAGCACUGUGAAACGCAAGCCUCGCGCUGGGACCAGGAAUGGCAAUGAGUUAGCCAGUGUGAUGAGGAAGCAUCAGAACCCAGAAACCUUGUUAACUUUCUCUCGCCCAGUCUCACCCCAACCUGCCCACUGACACAUUGCCUUAACGUCUGUUCCUAGCAUGGAGUUUGUUCCUGUCUUUGUAUUGUUUGCUGUCUUGUUAUAACAAGCAGAAUCCUCUAGGGGGAGCAACAAUUACACACUUGCUAGGGGAAGCCUGUCUAGUGUACAUCUUAAGUGCUGCAUUUGUCAUUACACUUGAGAUGCCGUUGGAAAAAGCCGAAGCCAUGCGCCUCUUACAAUGAAAUGUGUAAAUGUCUCUGGAAUGUCUGCGGUCAUGCAAGAAAUAUUCAUGUGCUAAUGUAGAAGUCUUGUUUGCCAUAGGUUCAAUUGCACUUUUGAGGCAGCAGGGAUUAGUGGUUAGAGCAGGGACCUGCAUGCCAAGACGCUCGAAUCUGUCUCUACUACUCCACUCACUAGCUGGGUGACCUGGGGCAAGUCGCUUCAUCUUUGUGCCUCAGUUUCCCUACCUGAGCAAUACCCACUUGAGGGAUUAUUUGGGGGGGAUGCCCACCUCUGUAAAGUGCUAGGGGGAUCCUCGUAUGAAAGGUGCUAUAGAAAUGGGAAAUGUCACCUUUCAAAAUCAGCUGUGUGUCAGCAAGCACAGUUCAUUUUUCAGCUGUAUAAUCGUUCAGAUCUCUUUACCUAAGCAAUGUGGUGAUGUUUGUAAAUCAUUCACUCUGUGCUCAAAAUAGCUGUUCGUUUCCAGCUGGCUAAUCUGGACUUGCUAAACGAGGGAACUGUGCUGGAGCAAGGCCGUCUUUCAAUGCGUGCUGGUGUGCAGUAGACUAUGUCGAUAUUUCCAGGUAAAAUACACAGCGAUACUAUUGAGUACAUGAAUGUCAGUGGCAUGUGGCUCUCAGACAUGCAGCGCACCGCACUGCAGCCGGCAAUAGAAAAGGGGUUUUUCAUAUGGGAUAGCUUCAUGGAUGACUUUGGGUUUAUGAGGCACCUUUCAUACUACAGGUGUCCUAAAGCUCUUCCCACUGAAGUGAGUGAAACAUUGGCAGGUGCUGCAGCUGGUCUGCCCUCAGCAGUUGCCCAAAUGUUGAGGGAGAAUGCUGGCCAGGAUUUUGGAGUUGUGGAAAAACUCUUCAAAGCAGAUGGGCCCUUGAUGGAAUGUCUCAGCCAAAGGUUGCUAACUGAGCACAUCAAGUCACCGUGUGUUGUUCGGCUGAAAUAGCAGCUGCCGCUUGGGAAAAUCUCCAGGGUGGGUGACUGAGGAACUCCCUGUGCAAGCACAGCGUGUCUCCGCUAGGACUCGGUGGAUCAGUACAACGCUCAGGAGCCCAGCCCUUAAAAGGCCUGUGUUUAAGUUCACUCAUUCCCAUUCUGGGUCCAUCUUAACCUUUAAACACUGAUCCGUACCGAGUCUGUUUGUUGUGAGUGUCUUCGCUUCUCACCCAAAAUCCAGGCAGGGGAGGGAGCGGGUUGGCGUUCUUCAACCACGCUGAGACCUAGGAGGUGGCUGCCUUCUAGUCCAGAAGCCAUCCUCUCCCAGGAUUGCUUCGUGUCCGACUGGCGCUUGAGAGAACUUUCAGCAGUGCCAUUGACUUUUGAUGGGACUCAGGCGCUCUUGAAAACUUUGUUCCACGUUCCUAGUUUGAAGAGUGCAAUUUCGGGGCUUAACCAAGGUACUUCCCUGCACCCUGUUAUCCGAGUUUUAGGCUCACACUCUAGUAAUACAGAAUUUUUUCGCCUCAGUCUAAAUAGUAACAGAAAAUAUUGCAAAGCAUGUUUGCUCCUGAGUGGCUAGCUGUCCCUCCCCCACCCCCUCACCCCAAGGAACCUGCAGUCAUCCCUACAACACAUGAGCAAAGGGCAAACGCUUAGCAGAGACCAGCUGCUCGGAGAAGUUUCCUGAGUUGUGUGUUAGCCAUGUGGGGCCGCCUGGGAGUCAUGAACAAAACCAUAUCCUCAGUGAGCCAGGGGGCCUUUCUUCCUAGCCGGUCGCUGCUCUUUAACCCCAGGGACCGCUAACUGGAUUUCCUGAAGAUGAUGGGACCUCCUUGCAAUAUAUGCUCUCUCCAGGAAGAAAGGAGUUGAUAUACAACCUGGGAAGGGUCUGGGUUUCCUGUUUAUGCCAGUGCAGUAUCCGGAUCACUGCCCCUGGCCUGUACUGUUGGGUCCCGUGUAUAAAGAGCUCGUGCUGCUUUGUGGGCAAGUCUGUGCCACUUCUUAGCUCCUUCCAAAGGGGACUUUGCCCGGAAGAGGGGUAGGGGGUGGCAUCCUGAGCAGGUUGCUGGCAAAGACCCCUUUGUUGUAUAAAUAAUGAGUGGCAGCAUUUAUUGGCCCAAGCUUUGCCCUGGAGAUGGGGAAGGGGAAGGUGCAACAGACGCUAGAGAGGCAGCAUGGCUGUGUGGAUAGACUUCUGGGGCUGGGAGUUGAGGCCUGAGUUCCAUCCCUGGCUCUGCCACAGCCAUCCUGUAUGAUCUUCAACAAGCCACUGCUCCGUGCCUCAGUUUCCCCAGCUCUAUAGCGGGGGCAAUGAUACCUGCUUUUGUAAAGCACUUUAAGGCCUAUGGAUGAAAAGCCCCACAUAUGUGCUAAGUGGAUAUUUACUAUGCUCCCUUUGCAUCAGUUAUGUGUAAUAACAUAAAUGAAAGGGGUUUACACUCAGAAUUCCACGUGUCGCAGCAAAUCACAAGACUUCUUCCCCUUGAACUCCUGAUUCUGCUGGAGGUGUGGGACUGUCGGGCCCACGGUUCUGGGUGUAGGCAGAGGAGUCCCCCAUGUUGAGUGUUCUCUGUCGGGUUUGGCAUUGGUGACGGUCAUGCUGUUCAAUGUGGUGUUGUGACUAUUUUGCAUAUGAAUAGAACUUUUAACGAGACAUACUGUUUUUGAAGAAAAAUCAAUGAUGUAUUUGUAGCAAACCAUUUUUUCUCAAUAAAUGCAGUUUCAUCCA